UCACAAAGCAGACAGAUUUAACUGCUGUUUGUCUCAUGAUUCUAGUGGUAUUUCAUCAGCUCGUGUCCGGGAACGCCCGUCUCCCCCUCCUCGUGAAUCCUCAAACCCUACAACUGUCUGAAUACGUUACGAUAACUGGUUGUAGCAGUGACUGUGAUGUAGCCUGCUGUUACUGUGAUAUCACGACACAGCCACCGAUCUGCGUCCAGUGCUGCCAAGGCGAUCCUUGAUCUGCAAAUGCACGAUGAUAUCCAAAGCUCAAGAAAAAGAAAUUACAGCUCAGAAGAAGUGGCCAUAAGGUGCUUCCUUUGAUUCACCAAGAAGUAGUCAACCAGAAUCUUAAAGCGCAUAUGUGAGAAAGAUGGAUUUCAAUGUCACAAGCAGUAUAAGAAUAAGCAGGAAAAAUCCGAGGAUUACACAAAAGAACUCGGCUUCUCAAAAUUCUUUUAUUAUGUUUCUUAUUUAUGUAGAACACAUGCUACUUUCUAUGUCAGAGAACACCAACCAUUUGGUUCUUGCAAGACACGGCACUUUUUAAGCAGCAAGGGAAAGCUGGCUUUUCGGCUAUUACCUGACUAAAAUUGUGGCAGAAAUUAAUGCUUUCUUGAAAGUCCUAAAAACACAGCUGCAGAUGAGAUUUGAACUCUAAGAUCAGCGAUAUCAAGAUCAUGGCCACCUUCAACCAAACCCCACCGAUCAACCUGUAAAUCUUCUUCCAGCCUAAUCAACUCAAUGGCUUGCUCAAUGCUCAACUUACCACGAAACAUGCCAACUGCAAUAACCAUAGAGUGUGCAGCUGCAGCAAUUGCAUCGAUUGCAGCUAGUUCACAAUCAUCUGUCUUCUUAAGAAUGUUCUCAAAGGCCUUAACCAGACCCUCUUCCUGCUUUCCACCAAAGAAACUUGUGUACACAGCGGGCUUAAAGCCAAAUUCCAAUUCCACCCAUUUAAUUAGGGGCCCGAAUUUCUCCACUUGCAGUUCU